CGGAGAUACAAAUCCGGCCACACUGCCAUA
rnacentral:sRNA from 1 species